GAUCAACAAUGUAAUCUAAAUUAUCUGACAUAUUCCAACUAAAUUGAUACAAAAAUACAGUCAACAUAACAUUUUAUUACAAUAAUAUAAAAAAAAUUGGGAAGAAAAGGAAAAUAAAAUUGCUAAACCUCAAGAAUGCAGAAAAAUGUAAUACAAUACGAAAUAAACGCAAACUUGCCACGGAAACGUAAAUCGUCUCAGUAAGAGAAAUUACUUAGUUGCUAAAGUGCAACUACAUUUGACACAUCUCCCAAGCGGUUGGCAAGUUAACGUAAGUCGCAAUCGAUGUUUGAAGCUUCUAAGACGCUUGCUCGUUUGGUUAUAAAAUCAAAUCUCUGAGAUGCAUACAGACAGACAUGAUUAUAUCGUCUUGGGUGUUGGCGCUGAUCUAUAUGUAUGUACUUUGUGGAGUCGGAUAUUACUCUUUCUAUUCGAUACUUACAUAUCCUAGAGGCACAAUGUUAUGAUGAUGGAUUGGAUGAAAUUUGUCCCCCGCAGGUUCUUUUAAAAAAAACCGUCGCCUUUAAAAAUUAUAUAUAUUUGCCAUCUUGUUAUUUAAUGUUUAAGUUGCUUCUUAUUUUUGGUCAUCUUAAGCCAAUGAAUAGGUGGCCCUAAACCAGUUUCAAUAAUUAUAUACUAGCAAUAAAGAAUAUAUAAAUUUGUAAAGAUAUUAAUUAUAAUAUGACUUUGCCUUGAAUUCGUUGCCAUAAUGAAAAUAAUAAAAACAGUUGCAAGUUCUAUACUGCAGUUGUAGUGCAUAGCAACAUAUUAUCCUUGCUUGUCUCGUCGCCCCUUUCACAUAGCUCAGCCUAUGAAAUGUAGCAAAUGGAGUCGCGCAGCCAUUUGGCUAAUUGUUCGGUUUGUUUUACGUGUAAGGCAACAAAUUGGCCAAAACACACGUUUGCCAACAGCCAAGCACAGCACAGUUGUCGUACUAGACGUCGAGGUAGUUGCGACUCCCAUUGGCAAUGACGUGUCCUCAGUAUGGCCUCUCGUUUGCAGUUAGCGAGGCGGGUUCAUAAUAAUUUAAAUGCUCGGCACACAAAGUGACAUGGCAAAGACAAACAGAGGUCAAACCGAGAGGCUCCUGUCUCCUGUAGUUGUUGCUGCUGUUGCAGCUGGAAAUGGCUACGUGACAGGACACAGUGCAAUGGGUCGCAUUUAAAUCCAAGCGCAGUAGCAACAAAAUUAGCACGACAAAGGGACUCGUCAGCAAGGUGGCAAGAGAAGCAGCAGCAUGAUGAACGGACGGAGACAAAGAGUUGAAGGGGUCGCAAAGUAAAACUGGUUGUAGUAGUGCAGUUAAUUUGCCAUUGCGAAGCAACAACAAGCUUUGAGCAAAUAACAAACGAGCCACAUCGCAAGCAUAGAGCACUGAGCAAAGCUGAGCCUUCGUGCCCCGUCGCCACUUCUCCUGCUGCUGCUGCUGCUGCUGCGACAGUCUCACUGUAAGGACAAACGGAUCAACAACUAAGCAAACAAAUGGCGUUGCAAUUGAGCACGUUUUGGGCAAAGCGCCGGAAUCACAGUCGAAAGUCGUAGAGCAGCCCAUGGAAAUGAACUGCGGCAUGGAAAAACAGAACAGAGUAGCAAACGAAACUGGACGAGACGAAACAGAACAACACACUUGUGUGCACACAACACGCAUGUAUAGGUCAGGUCAAGUGGCUAUGCGGCAGACUCCAAUCAUUUGUGCCAUACGUGUGGCUAAUGAUGUUGCAGUCAGAUUCAGAUUGAGACUCAGCCUCAGGCCACUUUGCCUUCAGAUGCAGAUUGGGAUUCAGUUUCGGAUUCUGUCUUUGACUCUCGGCGACGUGUCAGCAGCCAAUGGUCCAUUUGAUUGGAAAACUACAAAACGAAAAACGAAAAAUGCUCCCCCAAAAAAAAUAAGAAAGUCCACUUAAGUGAAACGAUCAUGUGGGUGUGGUUCGCAAGUGGUUAAAUGCCUCAAUGCAUGUUGACAAAACACGCAUACGCACUGUAAGCCAGCCGCAAAUGAGAAACUACGAGCAACAGGACAUUUGCCUGGAACAAGGCAAAUAUAUA